UGUUGUUUUACAGGGUCAGUAGUAUGAUAGGUGUUGUUUUACAGGGUCAGUAGUAUGAUAGGUGUUGUUUUACAGGGUCAGUCAUAGUAGUAUGAUAGGUGUUGUUUUACAGGGUCAGUCAUAGUAGUGUGAUAGGUGUUGUUUUACAGGGUCAGUCAUAGUAGUAUGAUAGGUGUUGUUUUACAGGGUCAGUCAUAGUAGUAUGAUAGGUGUUGUUUUACAGGGUCAGUCAUAGUAGUAUGAUAGGUGUUGUUUUACAGGGUCAGUCAUAGUAGUAUGAUAGGUGUUGUUUUACAGGGUCAGUCAUAGUAGUAUGAUAGGUGUUGUUUUACAGGGUCAGUCAUAGUAGUAUGAUAGGUGUUGUUUUACAGGGUCAGUCAUAGUAGUAUGAUAGGUGUUGUUUUACUGGGUCAGUCAUAGUAGUAUGAUAGGUGUUGUUUUACAGGGUCAGUCAUAGUAGUAUGAUAGGUGUUGUUUUACAGGGUCAGUCAUAGUAGUAUGAUAGGUGUUGUUUUACAGGGUCAGUCAUAGUAGUAUGAUAGGUGUUGUUUUACAGGGUCAGUCAUAGUAGUACGAUAGGUGUUGUUUUACAGGGUCAGUCAUAGUAAUAUGAUAGGUGUUGUUUUACAGGGUCAGUCAUAGUAGUGUGAUAGGUGUUGUUUUACAGGGUCAGUCAUAGUAGUAUGAUAGGUGUUGUUUUACAGGGUCAGUCAUAGUAGUAUGAUAGGUGUUGUUUUACAGGGUCAGUCAUAGUAGUAUGAUAGGUGUUGUUUUACAGGGUCAGUCAUAGUAGUAUGAUAGGUGUUGUUUUACAGGGUCAGUCCCAGUAGUGUGAUAGGUGUUGUUUUACAGGGUCAGUCAUAGUAGUAUGAUAGGUGUUGUUUUACAGGGUCAGUCCCAGUAGUGUGAUUGGUGUUGUUUUACAGGGUCAGUCAUGGUAGUAUGAUAGGUGUUGUUUUACAGGGUCAGUCAUAGUAGUAUGAUAGGUGUUGUUUUACAGGGUC